UACGGGGGGGGCAAGCGUUGUUCGGAAUUACUGGGCGUAAAGGGCUCGUAGGCGGCCAACUAAGUCAUACGUGAAAUCCCUCAGCUUAACUGGGGAACUGCGUGUGAUACUGGAUGGCUUGGAUUUGGGAGAGGGAUGCGGAAUUCCGGGUGUAGCGGUGAAAUGCGUAGAUAUCUGGAGGAACACCGGUGGCGAAGGCGGCAUCCUGGACCAAUAUUGACGCUGAGGAGCGAAAGCCAGGGGAGCAAACGGG
rnacentral:rRNA from 1 species